CCCCCCCCAACACGGACAGAGAGACCAGGUGAUCCAAUGAGAUAAACAGCAUCAGGAACAACACUGCUGAAGGUCUUAGGUCCAAGAUGAAUCAGUGGACAGUUGGGGCUGUUUCAGAUGCUGCAGAGGGUUUGGGAGAAAGACACCUCAAAAUACAGAGGCACCUCACAUUGAAAGGAAUCUCACAUGCUCUUGUUUAGCACGGGACUUAGGUACUCAGCAAUAAGACGAGGAGACCCACAAGCAAGAGGACGGGGCGGUGCAAGGGUGAGUGGAGAUAGCCAGUGAGACACGGCGCUGGAGAUGAUGAAGUGGGGGACCGCGAGAGCUACUCCAAAUGGUCUGUUUCUGCUUCCCGGGGUUCUCCGAGGAAAUGCACCUUUAAUAAGGCCACUUGCUUGUGCUUAGAAGAACCCACAUAAUAAGGUGCAGCACCUGCGCGCCCCCCCUGCUGUGAGCGCCCCCUGGGGGCUCCCCUCUUCACCUCUCUGCUGGGCAUGGCGCCCCGUCGUCGUCG